CCUACGGGGGCAGCAGUGGGGAAUUUUGGACAAUGGGCGCAAGCCUGAUCCAGCAAUGCCGCGUGCAGGAUGAAGGCCUUCGGGUUGUAAACUGCUUUUGUACGGAACGAAACGGUGAGCUCUAAUACAGUUUGCUAAUGACGGUACCGUAAGAAUAAGCACCGGCUAACUACGUGCCAGCAGCCGCGGUAAUACGUAGGGUGCGAGCGUUAAUCGGAAUUACUGGGCGUAAAGCGUGCGCAGGCGGUGAUGUAAGACAGAUGUGAAAUGCCCGGGCUCAACCUGGGACCUGCAUUUGUGACUGCAUCGCUAGAGUACGGUAGAGGGGGAUGGAAUUCCGCGUGUAGCAGUGAAAUGCGUAGAUAUGCGGAGGAACACCGAUGGCGAAGGCAAUCCCCUGGACCUGUACUGACGCUCAUGCACGAAAGCGUGGGGAGCAAACAGGAUUAGAUACCCUGGUAGUCCACGCCCUAAACGAUGUCAACUGGUUGUUGGGUCCUCACUGACUCAGUAACGAAGCUAACGCGUGAAGUUGACCGCCUGGGGAGUACGGCCGCAAGGUUGAAACUCAAAUGAAUUGACGG
rnacentral:rRNA from 1 species